rnacentral:rRNA from 1 species
UACGUAGGGUGCAGCGUAUUGAAUUGACUGGGCGUAAAGCGUGCGCAGGCGGUUUUGUAAGUUUGUCGUGAAAUCCCCGGGCUCAACCUGGGAAUUGCGAUGGAGACUGCAAGGCUAGAAUCUGGCAGAGGGGGGUAGAAUUCCACGUGUAGCAGUGAAAUGCGUAGAGAUGUGGAGGAAUACCGAUGGCGAAGGGCAGCCCCCUGGGACAUGACUGACGCU